UCCAGACUCCUACGGGAGGCAGCAGUGGGGAAUAUUGGUCAAUGGCCGGAAGGCUGAACCAGCCAUGCCGCGUGAAGGUCAGUGCCCUAUGGGCGUUAAACUUCUUUUGUGCGGGAGCAAUAAUGGUCACGUGUGGCCAGACGAGAGUACCGUACGAAUAAGCAUCGGCUAACUCCGUGCCAGCAGCCGCGGUAAUACGGAGGAUGCGAGCGUUAUCCGGAUUUAUUGGGUUUAAAGGGUGCGUAGGUGGUUAAUUAAGUCAGCGGUGAAAGUUUGUGGCUCAACCAUAAAAUUGCCGUUGAAACUGGUUGACUUGAGUAUAUUUGAGGUAGGCGGAAUGCGUGGUGUAGCGGUGAAAUGCAUAGAUAUCACGCAGAACUCCGAUUGCGAAGGCAGCUUACUAAACUAUAACUGACACUGAAGCACGAAAGCGUGGGGAUCAAACAGGAUUAGAUACCCUGGUAC
rnacentral:rRNA from 1 species